UACGUAGGGGGCUAGCGUUGUCCGGAAUCAUUGGGCGUAAAGAGCGUGUAGGCGGCCCGGUAGGUCCGCUGUGAAAGUCGGGGGCUCAACCCUCGAAUGCCGGUGGAUACUGUCGGGCUAGAGUGCGGAAGAGGCGAGUGGAAUUCCUGGUGUAGCGGUGAAAUGCGCAGAUAUCAGGAGGAACACCAAUUGCGAAGGCAGCUCGCUGGGACGUAACUGACGCUGAGACGCGAAAGCGUGGGGAGCAAACAGG
rnacentral:rRNA from 1 species